UCGAGUUACAAACUCCCAAACCCCUGUGAACAUACCUAUUGUUGCUUCGGCGGGACUGCCCCGGGCCCUUGUGGUUCGGAUUCAGGCGCCCGCCGAGGAAAAUAAACUAUUGCUUUAUUGUGGCAUUAUCUGAUUAAAAAAACAAAUAAAUCA
rnacentral:misc_RNA from 1 species